GACGAACGCUGGCGGCGCGCUUAACACAUGCAAGUCGAGCGAGAACCAGCCCUUCGGGGCUGGGGACAGCGGCGAACGGGUGAGUAACACGUGGGUAAUCAACCCUCGGUACUGGGAUAGCCCGGGGAAACCCGGAUUAAUACCGGAUGGCCCUUUGGAUCUUCGGAUCUGACGGAAAAGGUAGCUUCGGCCUCCGACCGAGGACGAGCCCGCGGCGGAUUUGCUUGGUGGUGGGGUAAUGGCCUACCAAGGCGGCGAUCCGUCGCUGGUGUGAGAGGACAAUCAGACACCCUGGGACUGAGACACGGCCCAGACGCCGACGGGAGGCAGCAGUGGGGAAUCGUGCGCUAAUGCGGGAAACCGUGACGCAGCGACGCCGCGUGAGGGAAGAAGGCCUUCGGGUUGUAAACCUCUUUCAGGAGGGACGAAGCUACUCGGGUUAAUAGCCCAGAGGGUGACGGUACCUCCAGAAGAAGCCCCGGCUAACUACGUGCCAGCAGCCGCCGUAA
rnacentral:rRNA from 1 species